rnacentral:rRNA from 1 species
GACGAACGCUGGCGGCGUGCUUAACACAUGCAAGUCGUACGAGGAGUGGAGUGCUUGCACUCUGCAUCCGAGUGGCGAACGGGUGAGUAACACGUGACCAACCUGUCGUCAGGCGAGGGACAACCUGGGGAAACCUGGGCUAAUACCGCAUGACGUCUUUGUCUCGCAUGGGGUGAAGAUCAAAGGGGGCCUCUGCUUGCACGCUCCCACCUGACGAGGGGGUCGCGGCGUAUCAGCUAGUUGGUGAGGUAACGGCUCACCAAGGCGACGACGCGUAGCGGGUCUGAGAGGACGAUCCGCCACAUUGGGACUGAGAUACGGCCCAGACUCCUACGGGUGGCUG